GAGGGUCGCAAGGCCUCCUACUGCUCUUAACCAUCCCGCGUAACUGCCGGAAAUCAUGUCUCUGCCUCGGCAGCGGCCCCAGGGGGGGCCAGCAGCCCGCCUGCCACGGCGGGUGCUGCCGGCGGCGCCCAAACCAGACGAGAUUGCGAACGCAACGUAUGUUUUUACAAACCUGUUA
rnacentral:misc_RNA from 1 species